rnacentral:rRNA from 1 species
AUGAUCCCGCGCGCUCAGCCUCCCGCUCCACGCGCUCCGGUGCGCCCCCGCGCGCCCCCUCCCGCACCGCGCGCCAUCAUGGUCCCGCGCGCUCCGCCUCCCGCUCCACGCGCUCCGGUGACCCCUUGCUUGCUGUCUCCCACCCGACGCGCAGCCGUGAACCCCCACACUCCCGAGCCGCACCUGGCGUUGGCGCCGACGGCGGUGGCUGUGGACACGGCCGAGAGCAGCAGCAAGGUCGCGGCCCUCCCCGGAUUCACUGGAUCGGACACGGACACGGACGCGGACACGGAGGCAGAGCUCGGCGGCCUCAGUUUGGUCCGUUCGAACUACGUUUCUGAUGACGACGACGACGACGAUCUCUCUUCAGAUGGGUACGAGGUCGUGGGACGUGGAGCUGUCACCGACGAGGAUGAGGAAGAGGAGAAUGUGUACGACUACGUCGCCAGGACCGGAUUUCUCAGUGACGGUGACUACGUCGUCGGGCCAGGAAUUCAGAGCGACGACGACGAAGAGGAUGGCUACGAAGGCUACGUCAUCGGCACCGGAACUCUCAAUGCUGAAGACGUCGGAGAGCAGGGCUACGCAUACAAGGAGUACGCCGGGAUUGGAAUUCUCACCGUCGAGGAAGGCCACAACGAGUACACCGGCAUCCUCACCGUUGGCAACGAGGCGGCGGCUUACGAGGAUGAAGUGUUCGUCAGCAACCUACAUGCCACGAUUGUGGAGGUGGAGGAAAGUGGCCUGCAGCUGGAUGUUUACCAAGAACCACCGGAGUGCUACGACAACAGCAUCGAGGCGUUCCAGGGCGGCGAUGAUGGGUAUGGCCAGGACGACGGCGGCGACUGGUAUGAUCAGGGGGACGACGGGUAUGUGCAGGAUGAUGAUAGCUAUGAUGCGUUCUACUAG